AUUGAACGCUGGCGGCAGGCUUAACACAUGCAAGUCGAACGAGUGGCGGACGGGUGAGUAAUGUCUGGGAAACUGCCUGAUGGAGGGGGAUAACUACUGGAAACGGUAGCUAAUACCGCAUACCAUCGGAUGUGCCCAGAUGGGAUUAGCUAGUAGGUGGGGUAAAGGCUCACCUAGGCGACGAUCCCUAGCUGGUCUGAGAGGAUGACCAGCCACACUGGAACUGAGACACGGUCCAGACUCCUACGGGAGGCAGCAGUGGGGAAUAUUGGACAAUGGGCGCAAGCCUGAUGCAGCCAUGCCGCGUGUAUGAAGAAGGCCUUCGGGUUGUAAAGCACUUUCAGCGGGGAGGCGGUACCCGCAGAAGAAGCACCGGCUAACUACGUGCCAGCAGCCGCGGUAAUAC
rnacentral:rRNA from 1 species